GAAAUGCGAUAAGUAGUGUGAAUUGCAGAAUUCAGUGAAUCAUCGAAUCUUUGAACGCACAUUGCGCCCUUUGGUAUUCCAAAGGGCAUGCCUGUUCGAGCGUCAUUUGUACCCUCAAGCUUUGCUUGGUGUUGGGCGUCUUGUCUCUAGCUUUGCUGGAGACUCGCCUUAAAGUAAUUGGCAGCCGGCCUACUGGUUUCGGAGCGCAGCACAAGUCGCACUCUCUAUCAACAAAGGUCUAGCAUCCAUUAAGCCUUUUUUCAACUUUUGACCUCGGAUCAGGUAGGGAUACCCGCUGAACUUAAGC
rnacentral:misc_RNA from 1 species